GAACAGCCAUGGGCUUUGGACAUGAUGCAGAGCUGAGAAAAAAAGACAAUUGCCUACAUAGAAUCCAGAGUUUCAUCUUCCACUCAAUUCAGUAACUCAAAGGGAGUAAAAGCCAAGUGAUGGAAUAUACAUAAAGCUGGACGAGGUCUAUAAACUUGGCUUCUGCAUUUCUGCCAGGGGCAUCUGUUGAGGUCAAGGAGACUGGCUAAUGACUGGGAAAAAAAACCUGUGAAGAGUGGACUUCAGAAGAAGGAGGUAUAAUAAGGCUGUUCUCCCCUGAAACCUGGGAAGGCUCACUGCAAACCUUUCCCAGAAAUGAAGGCUCAAAAGAAAUACGCCAAAUGGAAACUUUCAGGGGUACCAGUGCUACCCUUUCAGUUCAUACAGCAGCCUCUUCAUCCAACAGAAGACAAAGAGUAGUUUUUGCGGAAGGACAAACUCAAGCCACCUUAAAGAAGAGGGUAGAUCCCUGUGGCAGGAGGGACCUGGGAGAUGUAAAGCUUCCUCUGGUUUCCAGUUACUGUGGGGACACUUAGGGGUGUAUCUCAGGACAGGAAGGAGAAAAUAUUUCCUUAGGAUAUGAAGGUGCUACUUGAGAGAUGCGCUGAGGAGAGAAAUACAAGUAUCUUAUUAACACUAAUUUGUAAUGGUGUGCGGGGUGGACACACUUAAAAGGAAAUUAAACUUCAUGGUGAUGAGGUGUGUCUGAUUCAGACACUUUAGGAGAUGAAUGGUUGCAAGCUGCAUUGGAACUCUCCCCACCCCACACCCCAGCCUCAGGCGCUAGGGCCAGAACUCACCCUGCUUCCCUGAAGAGGGAACAGGAAGGAGGACACCAGCUGCGGGAAGAGCUCACAGGAAGUGUGUGUUGAGAAUGGGGAGAUGGAAGACCAUGGGAAAGAAGAGGGUCCAUAGGAACCUCCCCUGGUCUGGGGUGCUGGCACUUGGGGUCCUCACAGGGAAGAGAGGAGCCUUGUGGCUGCAGAGGGACUCUGUCCCUGAGGACACCCUCAGGGGGUUCACACAACUUGAAAGUGAAAGUGUUAGUCACUCAGUCGUGUCCCAUGGACUCUAGCCCACCAGGCUACUCUGUCCUUGGGAUUCUCCAGGCAGGAAUGCUGGAGUGGGUUGCCAUUUCCUUCUCCAGGGGAUCUUCCCAGUCUAGGACUUGAACUCGGUACUCCUGCAUUUCAGGCAGAUUAAGAACUUCCACCUUCAUGGGGAGCUGGUGGGAAGGAGUGACACGGUCCUAAGGAGACAUGGGGAGAAGCCCCUCACUGUGGAAUGUGGAUGGUGAGCACCCAGCCUCAGAAAUGCUGAAAUCAACUUGCCUGUGUCUUUGCACAGAGGUGCUAGAGAGGCACCACAAACAGCAAAAGUGGAGGCCCACACAGAGCAGAGCUCAAAAAUCCAAAAGUGCCAAAGACAGACUGGUAGGACCUCAGAAGCUCAUUUGGGAAAAUGAGGUGGACUUCCUAGAGAACAUUCUAGUUUUUCACAAUUAGAGCAAUUUUAAAAAGUGGCUGAGAAAGAUGUGUCCCUCUCACAUAAACUAGAGAUCAGCAAAGUUUUCCUGUGACAGGCCAGGUAGCAAUAUUUUUGGCUUUGUGGGCCAUGUGGUCUCUGCUGAAGUUCUUUGUAUUAACGUCUGAAAGAAGCCGCAGAUAAUACAUGAGUGAGUGGGUGUGACUGUGUUCCAAAAAAAUUUCUUUACCAUAUAGGGAGCUGCCUGGGUUUGGUCCACAGGUCAUACAGGUCACAGUUUGCUAAUCGGUGAUGUACGUAAACAUCUAGAACAUUAGAUCUUUUUUUUUUUUUUCUGGUUUCAGAAAUUAAUUUAAGAAGCCUGUGUGUGGCACUCUGUUAUACUGACUUCAGAUUUACCUUAAGCAUUUGUUUCUGAGCUAACAUGAGCGUAUGGACUCCAGUCUCCUCACUGGGUUGUGAGGAUCUUACCGAGAUGCGUGAUCUACAGGGCACAUCACACAUGAGGUGUUUUGUUUGCAAAUUCACUUCUUCGUGUGGUGAAGCUAUAUUUGAAGCAUACUCACAUAUAACAUGGAGAAGGCAAUGGCAACCCACUCCAGUACUCUUGCCUGGAAAAUCCCAUGGACGGAGGGGCCUGGUGGGCUGCAGUCCAUGGGGUAGCUAGG